GACGAACGCUGGCGGCGUGCCUAAUACAUGCAAGUCGAGCGAAGUUUUUCUGGUGCUUGCACUAGAAAAACUUAGCGGCGAACGGGUGAGUAACACGUAAAGAACCUGCCUCAUAGACUGGGACAACUAUUGGAAACGAUAGCUAAUACCGGAUAACAGUAUUUCUCGCAUGAGAGAUAUUUAAAAGUUGGUUAUGCUAACACUAUGAGAUGGCUUUGCGGUGCAUUAGCUAGUUGGUGGGGUAAAGGCCUACCAAGGCGACGAUGCAUAGCCGACCUGAGAGGGUGAUCGGCCACACUGGGACUGAGACACGGCCCAGACUCCUACGGGAGGCAGCAGUAGGGAAUCUUCCGCAAUGGGCGAAAGCCUGACGGAGCAACGCCGCGUGAGUGAAGAAGGAUUUCGGUUCGUAAAGCUCUGUUGUUAGGGAAGAAUGGAUAUGUAGUAACUAUACAUGUAAGAGACGGUACCUAACCAGAAAGCCACGGCUAACUACGUGCCAGCAGCCGCGGUAAUACGUAGGUGGCAAGCGUUGUCCGGAAUUAUUGGGCGUAAAGCGCGCGCAGGUGGUUUAAUAAGUCUGAUGUGAAAGCCCACGGCUCAACCGUGGAGGGUCAUUGGAAACUGUUAAACUUGAGUGCAGGAGAGAAAAGUGGAAUUCCUAGUGUAGCGGUGAAAUGCGUAGAGAUUAGGAGGAACACCAGUGGCGAAGGCGGCUUUUUGGCCUGUAACUGACACUGAGGCGCGAAAGCGUGGGGAGCAAACAGG
rnacentral:rRNA from 1 species